rnacentral:rRNA from 1 species
GCAGCCGCGGUAAUUCCAGCUCCAAUAGCGUAUAUUAAAGUUGUUGCAGUUAAAAAGCUCGUAGUUGAAUUUCGGGAUCAAUUAAUUGGUCGUGCCUCUGGUACGUACUGAUUUUAUUGGUUUCUCCCUUCUGACGAACCAUGAUGUCAUUAAUUUGAUGUCGUGGAGAAUCAGGACUGUUACUUUGAAAAAAUUAGAGUGUUUAAAGCAAGCUAACGCUUGAAUACAUUAGCAUGGAAUAAUGAAAUAGGACGUUUGAUCCUAUUUUGUUGGUUUCUAGGAUCGACGUAAUGAUUAAUAGGGGUAGUUGGGGGCAUUAGUAUUCAAUUGUCAGAGGUGAAAUUCUUGGAUUUAUUGAAGACUAACUACUGGGGCAAAGCAUUUGCCAAGGAUGUUUUCAUUAAUCAAGAACGAAAGUUAGGGGAUCGAAGACGAUCAGAUACCGUCGUAGUCUUAACCAUAAACUAUGCCGACUAGGGAUCGGAUGAUGUUAAUUUUUAAUGACUCAUUCGGCGCCUUA